UGGGGAAUAUUGGGCAAUGGGCGCAAGCCUGACCCAGCAACGCCGCGUGAAGGAAGAAGGCUUUCGGGUUGUAAACUUCUUUUGUCAGGGAAGAGGAGAAGACUGUACCUGGCGAAUAAGCCACGGCUAACUACGUGCCAACAGCCGCGGUAAUACGUAGGGGGCGAGCGUUAUCCGGAAUUAUUGGGCGUAAAGAGUACGUAGGUGGUUUCCUAAGCAUGGGGUUUAAGGCAACGGCUUAACCAUUGUUCGCCCCAUGAACUGGGUUACCUGAGUGCUGGAGGGGAAAGCGGAAUUCCUAGUGUAGCGGUGAAAUGCGUAGAUAUUAGGAGGAACACCGGUGGCGAAGGCGGCUUUCUGGACAGUAACUGACACUGAGGUACGAAAGUGUGGGGAGCAAACAGGAUUAGAUACCCUGGUAGU
rnacentral:rRNA from 1 species